rnacentral:rRNA from 2 species
ACAAGAGUUUAUGACUCCGCUCAGGACGAACGCCGGCGGCGUGCCUUAUACCUGCAAGUCGAGCCGACUUUAAAAGCUUGCUUUUAAAGUUAGCGGCGGACGGGUGAGUAACAAGUGGGCCACCUGCCUGUUAGACUGGGAUAACUUCGGGAAACCGGAGCUAAUACCGGAUAAUUCUUUUCCUCUCCUGGGGGAAAGGUGAAAGAAGGCAUCUGGCUGUCACUUACAGAUGGGCCCGCGGCGCAUUAGCUAGUUGGUGAGGUAACGGCUCACCAAGGCAACGAUGCGUAGCCGACCUGAGAGGGUGAUCGGCCACACUGGGACUGAGACACGGCCCAGACUCCUACGGGAGGCAGCAGUAGGGAAUCUUCCGCAAUGGACGAAAGUCUGACGGAGCAACGCCGCGUGAGUGAUGAAGGUUUUCGGAUCGUAAAGCUCUGUUGUUAGGGAAGAACAAGUACAAGAGUAACUGCUUGUACCUUGACGGUACCUAACCAGAAAGCCACGGCUAACUACGUGCCAGCAGCCGCGGUAAUACGUAGGUGGCAAGCGUUGUCCGGAAUUAUUGGGCGUAAAGCGCGCGCAGGCGGUCCUUUAAGUCUGAUGUGAAAGCCCACGGCUCAACCGUGGAGGGUCAUUGGAAACUGGGGGACUGAGGCUAGUAGAGGAUGCACGUC